UUGCUGCCACUUCCUUUGUCCUGAAUAUGGAGGGGAAACAGAAGAUAAGCAAUCUAUAGUUGAUCCAGGGGCCAGGAAUUGGGGGCUCACCAGGAACCUUGGGUACUACUGAGACUUGUUAAGCCAAGAGGAAGAAAGGAGCUGAGUUUUGGAUGGCUGACAACAGGAGUGGAGUAUUUGCUUACUGUGAAGAUCAGCAGGACCAAAUGUAAAAGGAAUGAAACAAAAACUACUGACUGCCCCCUGCAAAAAAAGAAGCUGAAAAAGAGCAUGGAGCCUUCAUGGGCCGGACGCUAGGCCAAGUUUUGUGCUCCCUUCUGAUGGCCCUGAGGGACUUUGAUAAAGCCAGAAGCACCACAUGGAGCAAUGCCUCUGCAUUCUCCUUGUAUCUCAGCCUUCUAAUCUGCAAAGAAAUGACCUUCGUCUGGAUUGAAGAUAUUUGCAGCUGCAAUAAUGUGUAAUUCUUUCUCUGAAGAAACAAGAUAUUUUCCUAUUGCUGAAUGUGCAGAGCUGGGUCACAGUACUAUAACCUGGACAUAUCUGUGCCUGCAUUUGAUGUCCUGCUGGAUCACCUCCUUGCCUCUCUUACUCAACUCCAAAUGCUGAGGAGACUGCUGUAUCCCAGCACUGCAGCACUGCUAAAUUUUUUUUUUUUUGGAAGUACUGGAUUGAACUGAGGGGUGCUCUACCACUGAGCUACAUCUCAAGAUCUUUUUAUUUUUUUAUUUUAAGACAGGGUUUUGCUAAGUUGUGGAGGCUGAACUUGAGCUCAUGAUCCUCUUGCCUCAGUCACACUUCUUGGGAUUCUAAGCAUGUGCUUGGAACACUGCUGAGUAUCAUCAUCAUCAUUAUUAUUUUUUUUGAGAGAGAGAGAGAAUUUUUUAAUAUUUAUUUUUUAGUUUUCGGUGGACACAAUAUCUUUAUUUUAUUUUUAUGUGGUGCUGAGGAUCGAACCCAGCGCCCCGCGCAUGCCAGGCAAGCGCGCUACCACUUGAGCCACAUCCCCAGCCCCCUGAGUUUUUAAAUGUAAGUUUUAUUUUAAAAGAAUCUCAAACUUGCAGAAAUAUAAUGACAAUGUAAAGAGCUUUUCCCUCUGAAACUUCAUGGGGGAAAGAACCUUUUCUAGUUUACUAAUAAAAGGACACAAAGUCACCUGUUAAUUUGGCCUUCUUCCAUGAAGAAUACCUUCUCAGUCUUUCCUUGAUACCUUUGAAAGGUUAUUAUAUUCUAGGAUCUCCUUGAAUUUGUAUUUGUCUAAUGCACAUAUGAGGAAGGCAUCCUGGUACAAGUGAUAUCCCAUAACAGAAGCAGGUUCUUGAUUCUCUCUUGGUUUGAGUUCCUUGGCCUCAGUAAGUGGACACAUUCCACAUCUACUGGAAGCCCAGUUUCGGGUUAUUUUUCUCUGCAGACCUCCAAUUGCUUUGUUCUCCUUCCUGAGAACUAGUUAAGCUUGAUAAAAGGAACCUCUGUUUACUGGGUGCUGUGCCAACUGUUUAGUCCCUCCCAACUUCUGAAGUAGUAACAAUUAGAACUUUGAGAACUAAGGGACAGAAGUGUCCCUGAAAUGAACACAUUUAUCCAUCAGUUUAUAAUUCAGGGGCAUCGUUGAAAGUGUGGGAUGGGACAGGGGACGAGAGACCCAUGAGACUUGAUAUGAGUUCCUUGGCCAUUUGGAUUCCAGGAACGACUAUAAUUGGCAAUUCUGUUUCCUAGCACCCACCUUCCCUUCCAGUAAAUUUCCUUGAGCCACUCAUAAAAGAAUUUUGCCAGAUGCCAGAAAGAAAAUUCCUGUUUUUUCAAAUGAUGAAAUAUGUACAUUGAUGCUUGAUCCUGUUUCUGAUUUAUGGAUGCAUUAAUCAUUUAUGGGUGAAUGAGUGAAGAAAAGCUGUUUUUUUUUUUUUAAUCCACAACUUUUUUUCAGAGCACUCAAAAGGAAGAUAUAGCCUAAUACCAGAUAGCAACUCUAUUGUGUUCUUCUUGGUUUCUUCCCUGGCUAAAUGAUGAUGUCAAAUGCCAUACAAGAAUCAGGCACCUGGACAGAGGUAUUCUGAGAAGGCUGAACUCUGCCAAAGCUCAGUGGGCAGAGAAACUCUUUCCAGAGAGGCUACCAUUAGCCCCUACUGUUCCUGGACAACACAAAGCUUUAGAAAGAGGCAGCUACCCUCAAAACAUCUGGGAGACCAGAGUAGACCAAGAAGGUCAGGAACGGGCUGUAUUUGGUGAAGGACAUUUUUUCCUUUGGUCUCUCCUACCCCUUCACUGCCAGACUGAGCAGCAGAGGACAAUGCCAAAAGAUGUUAUAAGUAUUUGAAGUUUGCCCUUCAAACCAGGGGCUUCUCUGUUGUGAUUCUGAAUUCUCCUGAGCCCUUUUGUGGUAAAAUACAAGUAGCAUAAAAUUUGUCAUUUUAAUAAUUUUUAAGUAUAGUUCAGUGGUAUUAAACACACUCUCAUUGUUGUGCAAUCACCUCACCAUCCAACUCCAGAACUUUUUCAUCAUCUCCAGUGGAAACUCUAUACACAUUAAACUAUAACUCCCCAUUUCUCUGCCCCCAAAUCAGCCCCUGGCAGCCACCAUUCUACUCUCUGUGUCUGUGAGUUUAACUGCUCUAGGUACUCAUAUAAGUUAAAGCGUUAAGUACUUAUCUUUUUGUGACUGGCAUAUUUUACUUAGUAUAAAUCCUUUAGGUUCAUCCACAAUGUAGCAUGUAUCACAGUUUCCUUCCUUUUUAAGUCUGAAUGGUAUUCCAUUAUACAUAAAUGUUGCAUUUUGUUGAUACUUUCAUUGAUUGAUAGACAUUUGGGCUGCUUGCAACUCUUGGCUAUUGUAAAUAAAGCUGCUAUUAACAUAAGUAUACAAAAAUAUUUUCAAUUAUGAACCUCCCUGACAAUGAAGCCAAACCCGGGAGAACUUCUGGGAGUUCCCACAAAUCCCCCAGGGACCUUAACCAGGAAAGCCUCUGCUUUGCCCUUGAAGCUCCAAAAGAUCUAGCCACAUAAUCCUGUCCCUGGGGUCCUGGACAGUCAUUUGAUUGACAAAAAAUCUUUUGUCAGGACCAACCUCAGAAGCAGCAGCUCAAUUCAGCAUGCUCUGAUCUCCUUGAUGCUUAAAUCCUCUGACCUUCAGUUGAAGGUCAACUUAAGUUGACCUGAGGACCCAGCCUGGUGUCCAUGGUGAGAACUCUGGUUGCAGACAUUAAUCACUGCCCCUGGGAGAGACAUCAUGGUGAUGGACACUUGCCUGAUGUGGAACAGUCUUCUCUCUCUCCUGCCUGACUCAGAGAAACACCUGGAGGGGCAGAAAGGAGAGAGUGGGAGGGUACUGGGGGUAAUAAUGGAGAUAAAAGGCUGUGAUUUUCAGGGCAUUUUAAUUUUUUGCUUUAACUGAGGGGAUUAAAAGUAGACAAAAACUUGCACCUGCCAAGAAAGAAAGUCUGGGGUAAGUAUCCCAUGAUUUCAGCUUAAAUCA